rnacentral:rRNA from 1 species
CCUACGGGUGGCAGCAGUGAGGAAUAUUGGUCAAUGGACGAGAGUCUGAACCAGCCAAGUAGCGUGAAGGAUGACUGCCCUAUGGGUUGUAAACUUCUUUUAUAUGGGAAUAAAACGAGCCACGUGUGCCUUUUUGUAUGUACUAUAUGAAUAAGGAUCGGCUAACUCCGUGCCAGCAGCCGCGGUAAUACGGAGGAUCCGAGCGUUAUCCGGAUUUAUUGGGUUUAAAGGGAGCGUAGAUGGGUUGUUAAGUCAGUUGUGAAAGUUUGCGGCUCAACCGUAAAAUUGCAGUUGAUACUGGCAGUCUUGAGUACAGUAGAGGUAGGCGGAAUUCGUGGUGUAGCGGUGAAAUGCUUAGAUAUCACGAAGAACUCCGAUUGCGAAGGCAGCUUACUAAACUGCCACUGACAUUGAGGCUCGAAAGUGUGGGUAUCAAACAGGAUUAGAUACCCUUGUAGUC